GACGAACGCUGGCGGCGUGCUUCACACAUGCAAGUCGAACGAUGAAGCUGGAGCUUGCUCCGGUGGAUUAGUGGCGAACGGGUGAGUAACACGUCAGUAAUCUGCCCUUGACUCUGGGAUAACUGCAGGAGACUGUAGCUAAUACCGGAGACUAGGCUCGAAGGCAUCUGCGGCUGCGUACAUAAGUUCGGUCAAGGACUAGCUCGCGGCCUAUCAGUUUGUUGGUGAGGUAAUGGCUCGCCAAGGCGACGAAGGGUGGCCGGCGUGAGAGGGUGGCCGGCCACACUGGGACUGAGACACGGCCCAGACUCCUACGGGAGACAGCAGUGGGGAAUAUUGCACAAUGGGCGAAAGCCUGAUGCAGCAACGCCGCGUGAGGGAUGAAGGCCUUCGGGUUGUAAACAUCUUUUAGCAGGGAAGAAGCGAAAGUGACGGUACCUGCAGAAAAAGCACCGGCUAACUACGUGCCAGCCGCCGCGGUAA
rnacentral:rRNA from 1 species